rnacentral:rRNA from 1 species
CCUACGGGAGGCAGCAGUGGGGAAUAUUGGACAAUGGGCGCAAGCCUGAUCCAGCAAUGCCGCGUGAGUGAUGAAGGCCUUAGGGUCGUAAAGCUCUUUUACCAGGGAUGAUAAUGACAGUACCUGGAGAAUAAGCUCCGGCUAACUCCGUGCCAGCAGCCGCGGUAAUACGGAGGGAGCUAGCGUUGUUCGGAAUUACUGGGCGUAAAGCGUACGUAGGCGGUUAUUCAAGUCAGAGGUGAAAGCCCGGGGCUCAACCCCGGAACGGCCUUUGAAACUAGGUAGCUAGAAUCUUGGAGAGGUCAGUGGAAUUCCGAGUGUAGAGGUGAAAUUCGUAGAUAUUCGGAAGAACACCAGUGGCGAAGGCGACUGACUGGACAAGUAUUGACGCUGAGGUACGAAAGCGUGGGGAGCAAACAGGAUUAGAUACCCUGGUAGUCCACGCCGUAAACGAUGAUAACUAGCUGUCCGGGCACUUGGCGCCUGGGUGGCGCAGCUAACGCAUUAAGUUAUCCGCCUGGGGAGUACGGUCGCAAGAUUAAAACUCAAAUGAAUUGACGG